AGAUGAAGUAAAUCAAUCCAUUAUCAUAAGUGGUGAGAUGCAUGAGAAGAAACAGGAGCAAAUGCAUCAGAAGGAGCAAUAGUAGCAGCAGCAGGAGUAUCAGUUUCAACAACAAUAGCAGAGUUUGGAACCUAAACUUGGGAUGAUAAUUUUAGGUUUUAUAAUUUUAGCUAUCAAGGCUGGCAACCUUCAAUUUCCAAGCCAAGCACUUUCACUGUCCCGGUGGCCAGUGAGUUCCCCACUUCAUUUGCCUCAAAAUUUUCUAUUUGCCAUGUUUUUUGCAGCUGAAUUUGACAAAACCCACUUCAAUAUUUGAUUUUUGCAAUCUUGCAAUUCAUGUUCAUAUAUAGUAUUAGCAUUCGCCUAGUGCUUUGGCUGUUGAUUUUGCCUUGUGCUUUAAACUAAAGUUCCUGAUAUGG